GAUGAACGCUGGCGGCGUGCCUAAUACAUGCAAGUCGAGCGAACAGACGAGGAGCUUGCUCUUCUGACGUUUGCGGCGGACGGGUGAGUAACACGUGGAUAACCUCCCUAUAAGACUGGGAUAACUUCGGGAAACCGGAGCUAAUACCGGAUAAUAUAUUUAACCGCAUGGUUCAAUAGUGAAAGACGGUUUUCCUGUCACUUAUAGAUGGAUCCGCGCCGCAUUAGCUAGUUGGUAAGGUAACGGCUUACCAAGGCAACGAUGCGUAGCCGACCUGAGAGGGUGAUCGGCCACACUGGAACUGAGACACGGUCCAGACUCCUACGGGAGGCAGCAGUAGGGAAUCUUCCGCAAUGGGCGAAAGCCUGACGGAGCAACGCCGCGUGAGUGAUGAAGGUCUUCGGAUCGUAAAACUCUGUUAUUAGGGAAGAACAAAUGUGUAAGUAACUAUGCACGUCUUGACGGUACCUAAUCAGAAAGCCACGGCUAACUACGUG
rnacentral:rRNA from 1 species